rnacentral:rRNA from 1 species
GAUGAACGCUGGCGGCGUGCCUAAUACAUGCAAGUCGAGCGAACAGACGAGGAGCUUGCUCCUCUGACGUUAGCGGCGGACGGGUGAGUAACACGUGGAUAACCUACCUAUAAGACUGGGAUAACUUCGGGAAACCGGAGCUAAUACCGGAUAAUAUAUUGAACCGCAUGGUUCAAUAGUGAAAGACGGUUUUGCUGUCACUUAUAGAUGGAUCCGCGCCGCAUUAGCUAGUUGGUAAGGUAACGGCUUACCAAGGCGACGAUGCGUAGCCGACCUGAGAGGGUGAUCGGCCACACUGGAACUGAGACACGGUCCAGACUCCUACGGGAGGCAGCAGUAGGGAUCUUCCGCAAUGGGCGAAAGCCUGACGGAGCAACGCCGCGUGAGUGAUGAAGGUCUUCGGAUCGUAAAACUCUGUUAUUAGGGAAGAACAAAUGUGUAAGUAACUAUGCACGUCUUGACGGUACCUAAUCAGAAAGCCACGGCUAACUACGUG